rnacentral:rRNA from 1 species
GACGAACGCUGGCGGCGUGCCUAAUACAUGCAAGUCGAACGAGAGCGACUGGUGCUUGCACUGGUCAAUCUAGUGGCGAACGGGUGAGUAACACGUGGGUAACCUGCCCAUCAGAGGGGGAUAACAUCCGGAAACGGAUGCUAAAACCGCAUAGGUCCUUUAACCGCAUGGUUGAAGGAGGAAAAGAGGCGCAAGCUUCUGCUGAUGGAUGGACCCGCGGUGCAUUAGCUAGUUGGUGAGGUAACGGCUCACCAAGGCCGUGAUGCAUAGCCGACCUGAGAGGGUGAUCGGCCACAUUGGGACUGAGACACGGCCCAAACUCCUACGGGAGGCAGCAGUAGGGAAUCUUCCGCAAUGGACGCAAGUCUGACGGAGCAAACGCCGCGUGGAAGUGAAGAAAGGUUUUUCGGGAUCGUAAAAACUCUGUUGGUAAGAGAAG